rnacentral:rRNA from 1 species
ACAGCAGCAGCCACGGUAAUACGUAGGGUGCAAGCGUUAAUCGGAAUUACUGGGCGUAAAGCGUGCGCAGGCGGCUUUGCAAGACAGAUGUGAAAUCCCCGGGCUCAACCUGGGAACUGCAUUUGUGACUGCAAGGCUAAAGUGCGGCAGAGGGAGAUGGAAUUCCACGUGUAGCAGUGAAAUGCGUAGAUAUGUGGAGGAAUACCGAUGGCGAAGGCAGCCCCCUGGGAUAACACUGACGCUCAUGCACGAAAGCGUGGGGAGCAAACAGGAUUAGAUACCCCCGUAGUCCCUGUCUCUUAUAC